GGGAAUCUUGCACAAUGGGGGAAACCCUGAUGCAGCGACGCCGCGUGAGCGAUGAAGGUUUUCGAAUCGUAAAGCUCUGUCCUAUGGGAAGAUAAUGACGGUACCAUAGGAGGAAGCCCCGGCUAACUACGUGCCAGCAGCCGCGGUAAUACGUAGGGGGCGAGCGUUGUCCGGAAUUACUGGGCGUAAAGGGUUCGCAGGCGGCAUGGCAAGUCCGAUGUAAAAGGCGAAGGCUCAACCUUCGUAAGCAUCGGAAACUGUCAAGCUUGAGUGAAGGAGAGGCAAGUGGAAUUCCUAGUGUAGCGGUGGAAUGCGUAGAUAUUAGGAGGAAUACCGGUGGCGAAGGCGACUUGCUGGACUUCAACUGACGCUGAGGAACGAAAGCGUGGGUAGCAAA
rnacentral:rRNA from 1 species